UACGAAGGGGGCUAGCGUUGCUCGGAAUUACUGGGCGUAAAGCGCACGUAGGCGGAUUGUUAAGUCGGGGGUGAAAUCCUGGAGCUCAACUCCAGAACUGCCUUCGAAACUGGCGAUCUUGAGUCCGGGAGAGGUGAGUGGAACUGCGAGUGUAGAGGUGAAAUUCGUAGAUAUUCGCAAGAACACCAGUGGCGAAGGCGGCUCACUGGACCGGAACUGACGCUGAGGCGCGAAAGCUAGGGGAGCGAACAGG
rnacentral:rRNA from 1 species